AGUGGCGAAAGCGUCAGACUGGAACGCGCCUGACGGUGAGGGACGAAAGCCAGGGGAGCGAACCGGAUUAGAUACCCGGGUAGUCCUGGCCGUAAACGAUGCAUACUAGGCAAUGGUGCGGCCAUGAGCCGCAUCAGUACCGUAGGGAAACCGUUAAGUGUGCCGCCUGGGAAGUACGGUCGCAAGGCUAAAACUUAAAGGAAUUGGCGGGGGAGCACCACAAGGGGUGAAGCCUGCGGUUCAAUUGGACUCAACGCCGGGAAACUUACCAGGGGAGACAGCAGAAUGACAGUCAGGUUGAGACCUUACUGAGAGUGAGAGGAGGUGCAUGGCGUCGCCAGUUCGUGCUGUGAGGUAUCCUGUUAAGUCAGGCAACGAACGAGAUCCGCGCCUUUAUUUGCCAUCAAGAAGUCACGACUUCGUUGGGACUUAAAGGGACCGCCGUCGAUAAGACGGAGGAAGGAGCGGGCAAAGGCAGGUCAGUAUGCCCCGAAACCCCUGGGCUACACGCGGGCUGCAAUGGUGCGAACAAUGGGCUGUAACUCCGAAAGGAGAAACCAAUCCCGAAAUCGCAUCUCAGUGGGGAUUGUCGACUGUAACUCGUUGACAUGAACGUGGAAUCCCUAGUAAUCGCGUGUCACCAUCGCGCGGU
rnacentral:rRNA from 1 species